AUCACUUUCAGCCUUUUGGCUAAGAUCAAGUGCAGUAUCUGUUCUCAUCAGUAAUAUCUGAUCUGUCCUUUAUCUGAGGACGAUAUAUUAGGUGGAUUUUUUUUUUUGUCUUUUUCCUUUUUAUCGGUACCAGGGAUCAAACUCACGACUGCCUGCUUGCAGGGCAGGCGCUUAUGCC
rnacentral:snRNA from 1 species